AACCACCUUAAAAUAAUUAACGAGACCGUGAAUUCUCGUCGUCAUGAAAAAAAAAAGCAAGACAGAAAAAGGAAAGAACGGAGAGGGAAAUAGAUGGAAAUGUAGAGCAACGUGCUGUAACGCGCGCGAGUUUCUCCUACAAUUGCAAAGCGAACGAAGACGACGCAUAAUUGUGCUGUAAAUCGCUCGCUUCGAUUAUGCAACGGCCGCCCCGCUCUCGCCCCGUUCGUUCGUAAUCGAUGGUUUUAAAUUAUUAUAAUAUUCUGUGUAUGAGGAGAGGAGAUUUCUGUAUAAGGACGGGAGAGAUCCGCUAAUUUCGUACGGUGAGGAUUGGCGUAUACAAUCGUGUAAAUAUAUACACACACACGUCGCAAAAAAAAAAAGGUGUUGCGUUAAUGUCAUGUGCAUUCGCUUUCCUCCAUUACGUAACCGAUCCCUUCCUGCGAACGUGGAAAAAGACAUAAGGAAAGAUGAAACCCGUGUGCCGUUCCCGUUGCCAAAAAUAGGAACGAAAGUUCAGACCUCGUUCAGUCUUCCCGCGUGAAGACGAAUUAUAAAAGAAGGAAAACUACGAAACUUUAUACAGUUCAGCGAUACGGUUUAAACGAUCGCACACUGCAAAUUUAAAUUGAUAUAUGAUAUAUGAUGCACAUUGUACAUACGUGGAAAGGGAAAAAUUUAUCCGCGAAAUUUCGUUAAUUUUGUUACGAAAAGUCAGGGAGGAAGUCUGAUUUCUUACACCUUUAAUAAAAUCGCUGAAAAGAUUUCGUCA